rnacentral:rRNA from 1 species
UGGGGAAUCUUGCGCAAUGCGCGAAAGCGUGACGCAGCAACGCCGCGUGAGGGAAGACGGCCUUCGGGUUGUAAACCUCUUUCAGUUGGGACGAAGCCUCGGCGGUGAACAGCCGCUCGAGGGGACGGUAACUUCAGAAGAAGCCCCGGCUAACUACGGGCCAGCAGCCGCGGUAAUACGUAGGGGGCAAGCGUUGUCCGGAAUCAUUGGGCGGAAAGAGCGGGUAGGCGGGCCGGUAAGUCCGGUGUGAAAGUGAAGGGCUCAACCCUUGGAAGCCGGUGGAUACUGGAGGGCUAGAGUCCGGAAGGGGCGAGUGGAAUUCCUGGUGUAGCGGUGAAAUGCGCAGAUAUCAGGAGGAACACCUAUGGCGAAGGCAGCUCGCUGGGACGGUACUGACGCUGAGGCGCGAAAGCGUGGGGAGCAAACAGG